GUCAGCACCCCGCUCUAAAGAGACGGGGCAUCAUGCUUCUCUUUUUAGGUAGCUGACCAGCCUAAGUCCCUUGAGGACUACGUUAUCGGUGAAAAAAAACUGUAAACUUUAGGGGUAAUUGAUCAAUUACCCCUACAACACUGGUUACUGUUCACUGUAAAGGUUGUUUGAGGAGUUCUUGCAGUUGGGGAAGCAACACUUUGAAAGCUUGGCCCCGAUGAGAGAUCAACUGCUUCUGUUCCGGUGACAUUUGGGCA
rnacentral:ncRNA from 1 species